rnacentral:tRNA from 1 species
GCCGGGUUGGUGGAACAGGCAGACACCGAGAUCUCAAAAGUCUCUGCCCGAAAGGGCGUGCGGGUUCGAGUCCCGCACCCGGCA